GGGAAAUCCUUGUGAUAAAUUGAAACUAAUAAAAAGUAACUCUCCACUGGAAGCAAGCUCUACGAGACAGGGACUCACCCUGUCUUGAUCACUGUCUGCAUCUGGGGAUCUGCAAGACACCUGGUGCAGGUGCCAGGAGAUGAAUCAUGACUGAUUGAAACCAAUCGUGACAAUCCAACGCCAGCAACUGAUCAGGGAAGCAUCCUCCAAGCCCAGGCUGCUCUUGGGAGGUGGUGAGACCUUAAAAAGCAGGGAGCAUGGGACAAGGCUUCAGGUCACUUCAGUUCCUGCUGUGACGUGAACUGGCUUCCUCCCUCACACGCUCCAGCAUGGUGUGCUGCCUGUCCACAGGCUCAGAGCAACACAGCUCCUGACCACCAACUGAAGACUCCAAAACUGUGAGCCAAGUUUCCUCUUUUUAAAUUGAUUUUAACAGAGAUUUGUUAUGGUAACAAAGGCUACACCCCGCCCCCACCUUCUAGAGGUCCUCCGUCCACACUGCGGCCUCAGGCUCCCUCCUCUGGCCCCUGGCCAUCAGGGUCUCAGGCUGUGCCCCUUUCCUUGUGAGCAUAUUGCCACGUGGACUUAGUGAACACCGGUUUAAUGUUUUGUCCCGUCUCUACCCAACCACUGUCCAGCAGAAGUACAGUAAAUUACACAGACAGCUUUACAUCACCCAGUAGACAUAAUUUAAAAAAUAAAAAUGAACAGGUGAGAUUAAUUUUAAGAGUGCAUUUUAUUUAAUCCAAUAUAUUCAAAAUAUUAUCAUUUCAACAUACAAUCAAUGAGAAAAUUAUUAAUGAGCACUUUUGCAUUGUCUUUAUCAUAUCAAGCCAGCGGAAUUUAGUGUCCGUUCAGACAACUGC